CCUACGGGAGGCAGCAGUGAGGAAUAUUGGUCAAUGGGCGCGAGCCUGAACCAGCCAAGUCGCGUGAGGGAAGACGGUCCUAUGGAUUGUAAACCUCUUUCGUCGGGGAGCAAAAGACGCCACGCGUGGCGUUCCGAGAGUACCCGAAGAAAAAGCAUCGGCUAACUCCGUGCCAGCAGCCGCGGUAAUACGGAGGAUGCGAGCGUUAUCCGGAUUUAUUGGGUUUAAAGGGUGGGCAGCCGGAAGAGCAAGUCAGCGGUAAAAUUGAGAGGCUCAACCUCUUCGAGCCGUUGAAACUGGUUUUCGUGAGUGAGUGAGAAGUAUGCGGAAUGCGUGGUGUAGCGGUGAAAUGCAUAGAUAUCACGCAGAACUCCGAUUGCGAAGGCAGCAUACCGGCGCUCAACUGACGCUCAUGCACGAAAGUGUGGGUAUCGAACAGGAUGAGAUACCCCUGUAGUC
rnacentral:rRNA from 1 species